UACGUAGGGUGCAAGCGUUGUCCGGAAUUAUUGGGCGUAAAGAGCUCGUAGGCGGUUUGUCGCGUCUGCUGUGAAAACUCGGGGCUUAACCCCGGGCCUGCAGUGGGUACGGGCAGACUAGAGUGCGGUAGGGGAGACUGGAAUUCCUGGUGUAGCGGUGAAAUGCGCAGAUAUCAGGAGGAACACCAGCGGCGAAGGCGGCGCUCUGGGCCGGUACUGACGCUGAGGAGCGAAAGCGUGGGUAGCAAACAGG
rnacentral:rRNA from 1 species